rnacentral:lncRNA from 1 species
UGUAUUGACAUAUUUAUUAUCCCUUUCUUUCUCUACAUUAAUACACAAUCACCGACCGUCCCUAGAGCAAGUGGCAAAGUGCUUGAUGAUUGGUACCCGAGGUUCUAAAUUCGAAUCCUAGUUGAUUCAUAUUUUCAGCUAAGAUUAUUUCUAAAUGAAAUAAACGAAGCGGGUAGUAUGCUACGAACCUAUCUCUCUCAAAAAAAAAGAAAAAAAGAAAAAAAAAA